rnacentral:ribozyme from 1 species
UGCCCAGCAACUCCUAUCCCUACCUCCUCGUGGUACUGGCCGGGGUACGAGUAACCUUGGGGAAGAUCGGGUAACCAACCCCCGGUGGGAAAUUUGGUCGUAUGCUGACAGGGAACG